CUUUGAAGCUGCGUUCCUCUGCCUCGCAGAGUGGUUAACCUGUAGUGUGCCAGCUUGCUUAUAACCCCUAACUUGUUACAAUAUGUUUAGCUUCUAGUUUGGUGAAACAUUAGUUGCUCUCUAAAUUCACACAUAUUGCCCUUAUCAGUACUCGUCCAUGGUCUGUGUGACACGCAUAGCCAUUAACCCCUAAUUUACCAGUUAUGUGCCCUUCCUGCCCACUGCAACAGUAACUCAGAGUACUCUUAGUUAUUG